rnacentral:lncRNA from 1 species
UCUGCCUCUCUAGAUAUUCUUCCAGAUACUCAUCCUAGAAGAAAACCAUUUUCUACUCUUAAUUCAUUCUUUUGUUAUUUAUGAAGGUCUCCUGGAGUUUCUGGCCUGCUGUUGUCUGUGCUGACUGUCCACAUGUGCCGGUUUCGUAGCGCUGUAAAUCUUGACUUUCGCCUCACUAUCACUUGGGGAUUGCCCGGUCUCUCUUUGUGGUAUGUUGUUUCCUAUAUUCCCUGUCUUUCUCUUUCUUGGUUUACUUUGUUUUGGUGGAGUGCAAUUUCUAGUACUUUCCUGAGAAAUUUGUAGCAUAACUAAACAUGUCUUUAUUUUCUACCCUCACACUUGUUUGAUAUUUUGCCAGAGUACAAAAUUCUAGUUUGGAAAUAAUUUUCUCUAUUGUCUUCUGACUCCCAGGGCUCCUGUUGCCAAAUCCUAAACCAUUUUAAUUCUUAAGUCUUUGAUUUUUUUCUCCUCUCUGGAAACUUCCAGAAUUCUUUGCUUUGUUCUAAGGUUCUAAAAUUUCAUAAUGAUAUGUUUAGAUGUACCUCUAAUUCCACUCAUUGUAUUCAGCACUUGACUUUUUUUCACAUCUCUGAUAAUCUGCUCAUAUUUGAAUUAGGAGACCAAAUAGAUGACUGGAAAUCGGUACCACUGAGAGUGCUUUCAGAGAUCUCUGCCAGUGCCUGCUCGUCUUAAAAAGCUGCCAGGAGACACAGUGGUAGAGUGGAAACAACAGAAACUGCUGCCAGCAGAUCUGGGGCAUAACUGUACAUCUAUUCCUUACUGGCUAACAGCUAAUGCAAGAGAUACACCAAGCUGAGCAACAAGAAAAGAUCUACUGAAAGUCUCCUUGGCUUUACCAAGAAAGUUGCCGUGGACCCUUAGGUCACAUAGCCUGACCAUGCUCAGAUGAACCAAUGGUGCAACCACAGGAGGAACCUAAGUGCUCAGCUGAGAAGCAGGGACUGAAUCAAGCAGCAGACACGAUGAUAAAGUUUGGAUGUUUGUCCCCUCAAAAUCUCAUGUUAAAAUAUGACCCCAAUGUUGAGAGUGGGGUCUAAUGAGGGAGUCCUCCCAAGAAUGGCUUAGUGCCCUCCAAGAGGAAAUGGCUGGUAAUAAGUUUACACGAGAUUCGGUUGUUAAAAAGAGCCUAGCACCCCCUCCCUUCUCCCCU